rnacentral:rRNA from 1 species
UAGUCCACGCCGUAAACGAUGGACACUAGUUGUUGGACUUAUUCAGUGACUAAGCGAAAGUGAUAAGUGUCCCACCUGGGGAGUACGAUCGCAAGAUUGAAACUCAAAGGAAUUGACGGGGCCCGCACAAGCGGUGGAGCAUGUGGUUUAAUUCGAUGAUACGCGAGGAACCUUACCAGGGCUUAAAUGUGGUAGGACAGGUUUAGAGAUAAACCCUCCUUCGGGCUUACCACAAGGUGCUGCAUGGUUGUCGUCAGCUCGUGCCGUGAGGUGUCAGGUUAAGUCCUAUAACGAGCGCAACCCUUAUCGUUAGUUGCCAUCAAGUAAAGUUGGGGACUCUAACGAGACUGCCGGUGCAAACCGCGAGGAAGGUGGGGAUGACGUCAAAUCAUCACGGCCCUUACGUUCUGGGGCUACACACGUGCUACAAUGGGUAUAGACAAUGAGCAGCCAGUGGGCAACCACGAGCGAAUCUAUAAACUAUAUCACAGUUCGGAUCGGAGUCUGCAACUC